UCCGACUUGGAGCCGGCAGUCUCUUAUGAGAUAUACAACAUAAGACAUGGGUUGCGCUCGUUUACGGACUUAACCGAACACCUCAAGGCACGAGCUGACGACGACCAUGCAGCACCUGUCAUCCAGUUCCUUACGGCACUCCCGAGUUUCCUCAGGAUUCCGGAGAUGUCAAGCCCUGGUAAGGUUCCCCGUUUAUUGUCGAAUUAAACCACAUGCUCCACCGCUUGUGUGGGUCCCCGUCUAUUCCUUUGAGUUUUAAUCUUGCGACCGUACUCCCCAGGCGGGAUACUUAACGCGUUAGCUUGGACACAGGAAGGGGUCGAUUCCUUCCUACAUCGAGUAUCCAUCGUUUACGGCGUGGACUAC
rnacentral:misc_RNA from 1 species